rnacentral:rRNA from 1 species
AGCGAACGCUGGCGGCAGGCCUAACACAUGCAAGUCGAACGCCCGUAGCAAUACGGGAGUGGCAGAUGGGAGAGUAACACGUGGGAACGUGCCCUUCAGUUCGGAACAACCCAGGGAAACUUGGGCUAAUACCGGAUACGUCCGCAAGGAGAAAGAUUUAUCGCUGAAGGAUCGGCCCGCGUCUGAUUAGCUAGUUGGUGGGGUAAUGGCUCACCAAGGCGACGAUCAGUAGCUGGUCUGAGAGGAUGAUCAGCCUCACUGGGACUGAGACACGGCCCAGACUCCUACGGGAGGCAGCAGUGGGGAAUCUUGGACAAUGGGCGCAAGCCUGAUCCAGCCAUGCCGCGUGGGUGAUGAAGGCCCUAGGGUUGUAAAGCCCUUUCAGCGGGGAAGAUAAUGACGGUACCCGCAGAAGAAGCCCCGGCUAACUUCGUGCCAGCAGCCGCGGUAAUACGAAGGGGGCUACCGUUGCUCUGAAUCACUGGGCGUAAAGCGCACGUAGGCGGAUUGCUAAGUCAGGGGUGAAAUCCUGGAGCUCAACUCCAGAACUGCCCUUGAUACUGGCGGUCUCGAGUCCGGGAGAAGUGAGUGGAACUGCAAGUGUAG